CUUCUUUGUUGGUUCAAAUUGAUGUUGAUAAUUGUUGGAUUUGUGAUGCAUGAUGCUUGCUGAAUCCAUUGAUAUGUUGUUUUGCCAUUUCUGGAAAAUAAUCUUGCACGAUGAUGAUGAACAAGAUGAUGAAUACUGUAGCUUUCAUAAACCCUAAGCCGUUCCCAGAUUUUCUAUUUCUGCAUCGUGUUUUGGCUGUUGUUGCAUGCUACUGUUUUAUUACCAUGACCUGUC
rnacentral:lncRNA from 1 species